rnacentral:lncRNA from 1 species
AUAAACACUGCCAGCUUUGAGUGGGACUCAGAGCAAAGAAGUGCUCUGUAGCAGGUCCAAGGUAAGGUGCAGCAGCCUUGAUGUGUGGGCCAUAUGGCCUGACAGAUCCGGUGCUAUUAGAGGAAACUGUGGUAGGAAAAGUUGCUGUGUGAGAUUGCUGGCUACAUCUGGUAGGAUAACUGCAAUAGACCCCCAGGGUUCAGGAGCAAGGCCAUGAUCUCUGCAGUAGAGAGUUAUACAGCCUUCAGAAGUAUAGUUCCUGUUGUGUUGCUGGACCCUAGUUGAAACAGCAUUCCUGACAAUGAGACAACAAGUGACCCUAUGACCGGAACUUCCCAUUAUAAGCUGGUUUUUGUUAGACCAUCUACAUGAUGAACUGUCAGCAGUUUAUCCUAAGAAGGAAGUGGUAUGUCUGGAAUCAGUCAUAAGCAGGGCCAGAGGUCAUAAUAUGUAUGAAUGAGUGGCCCAGUCGUCCAUGAAAUCCAUUGGUGUUCCACUGAUGCCUCUCCCUCAAUUAACUAUUGCAGCUGCUGUACCAGUUAAAGCAGUCUAUAACCGCUUACAGAGAAGGGAAAAGGUGAAGCUUGGUUCAUAGACGGAUUUACUCUUUAUGCGGUGCAAGCUAGAAAUGUAUUACUAUUGCAUUACAAACAUAUCUGGGAGUGGCCCUGAAAUACAGUAGGGGCAUGGGAAAUUCUCCCAGUGGACAAAGCUGUAGGAUUGAGUAAAAUAUACAUAUGAACUCAUAGACAGUGGUGAAUAUUUUGGCUGUCUGUUCAGGGGCAUAGAAAAUGAAAUAUUGGGCUGGACGCAUGUGGCUAGACCUAAGAAGCCUUAGAGAGCUUGAGUGUAAAUUGUGAAGAUCUUUGUAUCAAAUGGUUGUAAUAAUCCAUCAUGGAAUAAGCACUAAACAAUCAAGGAGAAGAACCAGCCAUCUUCUUCAUCCACCAACCACGUGCUGGCACAAUGAACAGCAUGAACAAUGAACAGCAUGACCAUGGCAGCAGGGAUGAAAGCUAUGCAUGGGCUCAACAAUGUGGCCUCCCUCUUACGAAGACUGAUCUAGCUCCUGCUAUUGCUGAAGAUUCAACCUGCUGGCAACAGAGACCAAAGGAAAUAGGACCAAUCAGAAUCCCAGAAAACCUGUCUGGAGUAAACUUAUAUGAAGCAAGUGAAUCCAAAAGGGACAAUGGUGAACUGCAGUGGAUGCCGUAGCUCAUUACCCAGAGUCCACCUUCUGGGACAGCAGUACCUAGCUGCUGGGAUUGUUGCCUGCUGAUGGCUCGCAGUUGAAUCACUCCCCUGCAAUUGCCUUCAAAAGGGAACUGCCGUGACCAUGGUUAUGCUCCGUUUCUAGUGGGGAAUUUCAUAUCCAAUUAGUGGUCUAUGUGUAGGCGCAAAGGUCCAGUCACCUCUACUAAUUCAGGAUAUCUCUGAAGCACUAUCUCAGCUUCAGAGCUCUCCAUGGGAGUGACUGAGACCUCAUAACACAGGAUAAGUGCUCCCUUUGCCUAAUCUUGCUUCCCUUACUUCAUUGGAGGUGUUGUUCCCAAGAUCAUUUCCAUAAAACAUUUGCACUCAGUCUCUGAUUCAGAGUCUGUUUUCUACAGAUCCUGACCAUGUAAAAUACAUUAAUUUGACUUUU